rnacentral:rRNA from 1 species
AUAAAAAAUUAAGAUAAAAUUGUUUAGAUUUAUAAGUUUAACAAAAUAUUGGAGAAAAAUUAGUUUGUAAAGAGUAUAUUUAUUAGAAAUUUAAGAGUUUAACUAUAAAGAAUAGUACUGUAAAGGAAAGUUGAAAUAAGUUGAGAAUUUAGAAAAAAAAUAGAAAAAAUAAAAAUUUUUACCUUUUGUAUAAUGGUUUAGUAAGAAAUAAUAAGAAAGUUUUAAAUACCCGAAAUUGAAUGAGUUAAUAUAUUCUAUUUUUAGAAUAAAGUUUUACUGUUGCAAUAGUAAAUUUUGGAGGAUAUAUUAGAUGUGAAAUGUUAAUCGUAUUCAAUGAUAGCUGGUUCUUUAAGAAAUUAAUUUUAGUUAAAGGUAUAAUUUUAUUAGAUUAUAAGAUUAGUUUUAAUAAAAAGUAUAAUUAUAAUAAUAUUAUGUUAAUAGAUAAGUAAGGAUAAGCUUGUUUAUCAAUAAGGAAAAAGCCUUCAAGGUAGGUUAAAGAUAGAAAUAAAAAUUAAAAUAUUUUUAUGAUUUUUAAAAAGUAGGAUGAAUAGCAUCAAUCUAAGAGUAAAGCGUUAAAGCUAAAUGAAAAGUAAUGGAAAUAAAAAAUUUUAAAAUGAUUAUCUAAGACUGCUGUGAUUUUAUUAAAGGAUUCUGUUUAAUUUAGAAGUCGUAAUGCUAGAAUUAGUAAAGAAAUAUAUUUUUUGUAAAUUAAUCAAUUCUAACUUUGGAUGAAUAAAUUUUAAGAAAACUAGAAAGAUAAUUAUUAAGUUGUCUUCCAACACAGGAAAUAAUAUUUAAAAAAAAUAAAGAAAAGGAACUCGGCAAAAAUUAUCUCGCCUGUUUACCAAAAACAUUGCUCUUUGAAAAUAAAGAUAUAAUAUGAAGUAUAAAGAGUACUGCCUGCCCGGUGACAUUGUUUAACGGCUGCGGUAUUUUGACCGUGCAAAGGUAGCAUAAUCAUUUGCCUUUUAAAAGGAGGCUGGUAUGAAUGGCAAGACGGGAUUAGACUGUCUCUUUUUUAUAACUUAAAAUUAAUAUUCUUGUGAAGAAGCAGGGAUAAGAUCGUAGGACGAGAAGACCCUAUUGAGCUUAAAUAGAGAUUAUAAAAUUUUGUAUAAUAGUUUUUGCUAAUGGACUUAUAUGAUAAGAUGAGAAAGUUACAUUAAAAUGAAAAGAAUAAUAAUAAUAAUAUUUUGAUUGGGGCAAUCAUGGAGAAUAUACAACCUUCAUUUAAGUAAAUUAAAAUUAAUAAUUUGGUUGGUUUUAAGAGUGUUAAAGUGAUCCACUUAAUGAAGUGAUCAUAGGAAAAAGUUACCAUAGGGAUAACAGCGUAAUUUUUUUGGAGAGUCCAUAUUGAUAAAGAAGUUUGCGACCUCGAUGUUGGAUCGGGAUAUCCUAAAAAUGCAGAAGUUUUAAAGGGUUGGUCUGUUCGACCAUUAAAAUCCUACGUGAUCUGAGUUCAGACCGACGAGAGUCAGGUCAGAUUUUAUCCUCGAUAAAUUAUGUUCUUUUUAGUACGAAAGGAAUUAAGGAACAAUAUCAAUGUCAAGAGAUAAAUAUUAGUAUUUUUUCUGAAAAGAAAUUAAGAAAUAAUGAAAAUUUUGCUUAAGUUGGGAAGAUAAUUUUAU